CUUUAGGUGGUCAAAGAGGUUCUCAGGUGGUCAAAGAGGUUCUCAGGUGGUCAAGGAGCUCUUCAGGUGGCCAAAGAGGAGCUUUUGGUGGCCCAGAAGGUUCUCAGGUGGCCCAGGAGGUCCUCAGGUGGUCAAGGAGUUUCUCAAGUGGCCCAAGAGGUCCCCAGGUGGUCAAAGUGGUGGUCAAGUGGUCAAGGAGGAGCUUUAGGUGGCCAAGGAGGUCCUCAGGUGGCCCAGGAGGAGCUUUAGGUGGCCCAGAAGGACCUUAGGUGGUCAAAGAGGUUCUCAGGUGGCCCAAGAGGUGGUCAGGUGGCCCAGGAGGUUCUCAGG
rnacentral:lncRNA from 12 species